rnacentral:rRNA from 1 species
AAUGAACGCUGGCGGCGUGCUUAACACAUGCAAGUCGAACGAGAAAGGGAUUGCUUGCAGUCCUGAGUAGAGUGGCGCACGGGUGAGUAACACGUGGAUAAUCUACCUUCGAGCCUGGGAUAACUAUCUGAAAAGGUAGCUAAUACCGGAUGAAGUCCUUUUUGCCUCGGCGGAUGGGAUGAAAGACAGCCUCUGCUUGCAAGCUGUUGUUUGAAGAUGAGUCCGCGCACCAUUAGCUAGCUGGUGGGGUAACGGCCUACCAGGGCAACGAUGGUUAGCUGGUCUGAGAGGAUGAUCAGCCACACUGGAACUGACACACGGUCCAGACUCCUACGGGAGGCAGCAGUGAGGAAUUUUGCGCAAUGGGGGCAACCCUGACGCAGCAACGCCGCGUGAGUGAAGAAGGCCUUUGGGUCGUAAAGCUCUGUCGACAGGGAAGAAGUUAUCCAUGGUAAAUAGCUGUGGAUAU